UACGUAGGCAGCAAGCGUUGUUCGGAGUUACUGGGCGUAAAGCGAGUGUAGGUGGUUGUCCAAGUUGGAUGUGAAAGCCUUGAGCUCAACUCAAGAAAUGCAUUCAGGACUGGGCGGCUAGAGGACCGGAGAGGAUAGUGGAAUUCCCAGUGUAGUGGUGAAAUACGUAGAGAUUGGGAAGAACACCAGUGGCGAAGGCGGCUAUCUGGACGGUUUCUGACACUAAGACUCGAAAGCGUGGGGAGCAAACAGG
rnacentral:rRNA from 1 species